rnacentral:lncRNA from 1 species
AGGGUGCGUUUGGUUCGCAUUAUAAAAGAUUACUAGGAAUAAAAGAUAUCCGAGAAUCUUAUUAAUAUUCAUCCUAUUAUUAAGAAUGUGGAAUUCCUGUGUUUGGUUCACACAGUAAUAUUAAUUAGCCAUGUUAUUUAAUAUUACAAAAAUUAUAGAAUUAAUUAAUUUAUUUAUUUAAUUAAUUUUAGAUAAUGUUACCAAAAGUUUCAACAUCUUUUUAGAAAAAAGGGAGAGAGAGUAUAAGUUUUUUAGAGAGAGAGAGAGAGAAAGCUUAUUUUAAGAAAGAAAAAAAAAGUUGAAUUUUAGAGAGAAAAAUAAAUUUAGAGAGAGAUAUAAAAUUAGAGUGUAAAGAAAAAUAAUAUCAAUUAGCCGGCGGGUAGGAAGAAAGAAAGAGAUUAGAUAUAUUAUGAUUACCCCAAUUCAUUAAUAUGAGGAUACCCACCCUUCCUCAAGGGAAUGAGAUUAGUACUUUGGGGUGAAUCUUAUUCCCAAGUGAAUCCAAUAUUACCAACUAGAUUACUUAGUGCGUUUAGCCAAACACCGUCAUAUUUUUUUAUUCUCAUUGGAUUACUAGGAAUCUUUAAAAGAUAGCGCGAACCAAACACACCCUAAUAGUAUGGUCACAUAGCCUACAGUUUAGGUGUGACACAUUUCACUUAAACUUCAUACAUUUGUUGGUGGUUAGCGUAAUCAUCGUUGUUAUAGUAAUUUCAUUUUUGUUCUCUUAUGAAGGGUCAACUUUAGGGACACAACAACGUUGAUUCUA